UGCUCUUCCUUGGAAGUCCCUUUCUCUUUUGUUUCGGAGAAUAUUUUCUGGUUGUAAAAGAUGAUGGUGGCAAUAAUAUGGCUCUUGCAGAGUAAACCGAUGCACCUACCUUGUAAGUUGUGUUCCAGAAGUCAACCAGCCUAAUGCUGAUAUGUCAUUGAAUGAAGUUAUGGAAAAACUCAAAUCUUCUGCUGGAAUCGGCACAUGACCUACCUGAGCUGCAAACAACAUUUCAAUUUCGACAGACCAAUGGAAUGAUUUCUUUAUGCAAUGCAGAACAUGGUCUACACAUGGCUUGGGGUUGUAACUCCCAUUCUCAUGCCUUUUAAGUAUCUAUUUUUGAGAUACGCGCUCGUGAUGAACGGCUGGUUCAUCGUGGCUGUGUGCAUGCUGUUUUACACAGCUGGCUCAUUGUGGCUGGUAACGCGCAAGCUGCAUCAUCAGAGUUGUGCAUACUGAAGGAAAUCGUAAUCGAAAUCGCCUGCCUUGGUCAAAUCCAGCUAGAAUUUAGCUUAGAGCUACUGAUUGUGACGGCCCUAAAAAUUGCUCAGCAGCGGCCGUCUGAUCUUUUGCUUUACCACCAGCCUUACUACCUUUGGUGGUGAAUAAGUGAGCAUGCAUGCAUGCAUGCAUGUGUACAAUGGUUUGCAUGUUUCUUCUGCUUGUCUCUUUAGCUCUACCGCAUGCAUGCCGCCUGAUUUGCUGCUACCGGCGGGAUCAGAGACGGUCGAUCCUUUGAAGCAUGCUGCAGGAAGCAGCGUGACGUCGUGGUCUCGUGGGGAUUGUCAUGAUGCAUUGCUCGCUGCCACUAACGGUCAAAAGUCUGGCAAGAUGGCCAGACAGGCGGGGACCCUGGCUAAGGCCUCUUUUGGUUCAUAGGAUAGGAUUAUCAUAGGAAUAGGAAUCUUGUAGGAAAUGAGAUGACAUGUAUCUCAAAUCCUAUGAGUAGGAAUAAGAAACAAGAUGUCAUUUGGUUGACACCAAAAGAAUUUAUCCAUUGAGUCUAGACUUUUUUUUAUUUUCCUAUGAAAUGUGGAGGAUAGGAACCAAUCCUAUGUAGGAAUAGGAAUUCAUUCCUAUGAACCGAAGGGCUCUAAAGGAAAAAAUUCUAUAAGAAUCCUAUCCUCUAGAAUUCCUAUAGAAUUCCUCUAAACCAAAGAAGGCUUAACUUUGUCACCUUGUCUCUGCAACAGUGCUCUUUAGUCCUUGCCCAUGUGAUUGUGAUCGAGUACCAAGUCCUUUGUGCUAGACUAGAUUUCCUGGUUUAUGGCACGGGGGGUCAUGGUCAUGGGCCGUUCGCUGGCUACAUGAGGAGUAUCGGGUCGAAAGGAGCAGCUAUUGCGACGGCGCACCAAAACUUGAGUAGGUGCUACCACACGCGAAGACUUGUGACGUGUUUGGUUGCUCGCAUACACCCCAACCAAAUCCGUGCAGGAAGAAAAUGUUUGUUUGGUUGCUUGUGUUCACGGUUUGGUCUGCAUAGCACGAAACCUAAAAUACCUUGGGCCAGGCCCGUUGGGAACCUCCGAAUCGACAAUUUUUUCACGGCCAGCACGUGGACGGCGCCGGCUGCAUGUGAGGAGCCAUGCUCGAGACAUUGCGUUGUUUCUUGAAGCACCGGCUUUAAUUACCUUCACCUCCCCUCACCGCUCUCCACUCUCCCACUAUCACAUUAGCGGCGGCGAUCAGCGGAGCGGAGAAAAGCAAGAAGAGCACCGGUGUCCAUCACUUGCAGCACUUCAGCAAUGGCGGUAAGACCUAUUUUGACCUCCUCGCUAAUGAUUUUCGUAUUCGAUCUGCGUUUAAGAUUGGAUUUGCGCAUUCGAUCCGUGUGCUAGGGGUACGGUUGAUUGUGGGGGUUCAAUAGGGUUGAUCAGCACAUCUUGAUGAGUAGCAAAUAGCGAUGGAUUUUAGGGUUUUAAUUGGGAUUGAGUACAAUGGGAAUGGUGAAUUGGGGUAGAUCUUACAUAGUAGCGCUAAAUCCUAGCCGCAGCGACCAUGGAGGUCCUUGGAACACCGGGGGCUUGGACCUUGUAGUUGUCCUUCGGCUCAAUCGUAGCAUGCACCAUCUCCUCAUCCUUGUCGUCGACUAGAACAACCAGCAUAGUACGGUGACCUGGCUCCGGCACCCUGACCACCACCUCCACCACUUCUUCUUAUUCUUCCUUCAGCUCCAGAACGAUGACGACCGGCGAUACCGCGGCGACUGAUUGGUCUUGACGAGCCGUGUACCCCCUGUACUUGGCCCAUCUUGCUCUCUGACUAGCAUCACCGGACUCGGCCUAAUCCAUGGCCCAGCGCAGUAUGUCCACUGACAUAACGCCUUUCACAGGGUCAGGAAUUAACACAUUCAACUCCUCCGCCGUUGCCUUCUUUACCACAACGUUUGCCUCCUUAUGCAUGUCCUCGAUGCUGGUGAAGUUAAAGCACGUUUCCAUGGUGUUCUCAAACUUGGUGUGAUCACUGAGCGAGCGCCCAAGGAAGAAAGCCCUCCAACCAAUGCCCCUGGGGAAGGGGUUGGGGAUGGGGUUCAUGGCGGGGUUCAUGGCGAUGAAGAUAUGGAAGAGGAGUGGCUAGUGAGAGACAGAGAGGGUUAAUUGUGUGCGGUGGUGGGUAAGUACUAGAGCCUUUGGGCGGGUAAAUAUAGGGGCUUUGGACGAUAGGAUUGAAUGUUGGUCAACCUUUUUUACUUUGUGCUUUUCAUAAUGCAGAUCAACCAAGUGCAAGAAGUACGACGACGCCUUCGCCAUGAACGUCUAGAGAUCUCUCCGUUGCCUGAUUGCACAUGUUUUGAAUUAAACUGGUUCCCGCUUGCUUGUUUAAAACCAUGUCGUGCCGGUUUGGUUUAAGACUACUUAUUUAAUGUUUCGUACUAUGUUUAACUUGUUCCUAUGCUAUCUUUGUGUGUCUCUGAUUUGUUCUGCCUACUAGUGUGCUGGUAACCUCAUCAUGUCCACGUGGAGGUUACCAGACAACAUGUGUUACAUGUACUCAAACAGCCUGCCUUGUGUUUCAGUCUAAACAAGCCCGCAAUCAAACAACCUGCCUUCCAUUUUACAGUAGGCAGGCUAAAGGGUAUGCAGGCGAUCAAACAACACGCAGAUGUUGGUUUUUAGUCCGUUUUUUUUCAACCAGACCCAACUGGAUGAAGCAUGCAACACAUGCAAUAUAGAUUCGAGCAACCAAACACGUCAUUGGUAUUUGGUAGAUCCAUCCAGGGCCAGCAAGUCUCGGACGCGUCCCAUUCAUCUUGUACGAGUACUUGCUAGCAAUGUCCAGGAAGCGUGACAAUGAAACAUGGUCGAAAGAAGACAAGGGGGAUAGAGGAUCGACUAGGACGGUUACCAAAAACACAGGAAAUGUUUGUGCCUACGCCGUGCUCCUCGUCAUGUGGCGUACUGCCAGCACGGUGGUUGUCGACAUGUCGACUGAUUCUUGCCGGUCGCAUCGGCAUCAGCAGGGUACUUACAGUAACAGUUGCGCCACGCGAUGCACAAUUUGUACGCACGCGCAGCACUGCUCCCCUAGUUACAGUGAGAAAGUCGGUAAUAUGUGGUGUUCUGGCCAGAAAGAGACGUGCUUGUCCAGACCUGGGUCCGCGCCCGCAGGUCGUGUAACGGUGUGAGGUACACAUGUGUGGCUUUUGCUCUGUGCGUGCCCCGCCCCGGCAGCUGCUUUGUGCGAUUGUGUGUGCCUGCCUGCCGGUCAAUCGGCCACGCCCCACGGAUCUAUGCACCUUCGGGAAUAACCGCGCAAAGUGCGUGGCGACAAGCGGAUGGAAACAUGCUUGUUAGCGGCCGCGCGCGGGGUGGCGCGUUUGGAUCGGUCUGCUCUGUGCAUCGCUCUCUCCAGAUGAGAUCUCUUGCUUUUUUUUUUGUGUGAGGAAAAUGAGAUCGCUGGCUGGCUGGCUGGCUAAUGGCUUUCCAGUGGGCCGGAGACAGCAUGCACAAAGGCGACGCGAGUAUGCUACUACGUAGGACCGAGGAUCAAUGUCGCCUGCAGCCACCUUUUGCUGUCCCGCGUGUUGUCGACGCCGACUGUCAGAACGUGGUGUCCCUGGCUCACUCAGAGCGAUGACCGCCAAGUAAGCUCUAUAUCCGCGACAUGGAUGAGGUGACUGAGAGGACCGCUUACCUCAAGACGAAAGAUGUCUUCAUUUUUCAAGCUACGGUCUACAGUCAUGUAGCACAUAUUUUGGUUGUCUUAAUUAGGGAGGAUUGGCCGAAGCUUAUGAAUUUGAGCAUGGUAUGAAUAUAACCUUUGAUAUUGCCAUCUUCCCUCGAAAUGAUUAAGAAAUUUGGGUGGUUUUGGACAUGAUUCUACUUCUUCCUCCGUGUGAGUUUCUUAAACAAACAAACUUGUCAAAUAAACUUGAUAUUACUUACCUUGCUCCAAAUAAACUUAUCAAAAAUAGUUGUGAUUCACCCCUACUUAUCUUGCUUAUUUAAAAUUGAUAGCUUAUUUUCUAGCUCCAAGAAAAUACGAAAGAUAGUAGAUGACACAUAUGCACUGCUGGCAAAAUGCUUACUUGGGAGGAGAAUUGGUACCUUGUCUCCUUUGUUCAUAGCAUUGAGUCACUUAAGGGCACUUACGGAGCUGGACGAAAUGAUGCAUGAUACCUGCCACUAGUCCACACCUUAAAGAAUACCAACAUUCGUAGAAAAUGCAUGGUAAGAUUUUUUACUAUUGUGCCACUAGUCGAUCUUUUUCUUUCACUGUUCUUAAAUAAACUACACAUCUUACUAUGUUAUUAUUAUGUUCUCGAACAGAAAAUCCCAAGAUGUAUUGUGCCCGCGGUGAUGGAUGACCAUGGUGGGAUGCCAAUUAUUUGCCAUGACAAGACCAAUUUCAGACGCACAUACUUCACUGCAGCCCUACCAGAUGGACUCGUCUAAAUUGAUGGAUGGAGGUGAAUACUGAAUGAGUGCAAGCUGGAAAUUGGAGAUCGGUGGAUUUAUGUACUCCACCAUGGAGAUGCAGGGGUUUUCUAUUCUUCACAUAUAUUCCUAAAGGAGAGAAGUAGUGCGCUAGUAGUUGCCAUGGUUGAUACUAAGUAGUGGACAUAUUGUCGAUCGUGUUUUGAGCUACUAUGUACUAGCUACUAUUGAAAAUAUGCCCUAGAGACAAUAAUAUUUGUAUUAUUUAUUUAUAAGUUUGUAGUUGAUGUUUAUAUUUUAUGCUAUAACUGCUAUGGUUGAUUCAUAUGUAAACUCAUUAACAUGUGUAGAAGCAUAAGCGGUAAAACCGGAUUUCUAAUCUUGCCUCUAGGACUAGUUCAAUUGUUAAUUUGAUGAUUCCGUUUUCCUAAUCAUGGGCAUAUGCGAGUAACAUUUUAGAGCGCGAUGUUGGUAGAACACUCGUGUUGAAUUGACCCAAGCUGUUUAUUAUACUUAGAGAUUAUAUCGUCUGAAGUCUUUAGUUCAUAACACAUGAAUUAAAAUAUGUAUGGUUCCUUAGACCAUGAUAGUAUCGAGUCACUCCAUAUCAUACAUUGCACUUUGGGGUUGUUCCAACGUCAUCCGUAACAGGAUGAUCAUAUGACAACUUAUGGGUUCAUCGAAUAUGUAUGACGAGAGACUAGAUAACUCGAGGUUGGGAUUUGCUCUUCUGUCUCGAUGGAGAGUGUAAGUGCGUCUAGUGCCAUCCCUAGUUGGUUUUGGAGUAUUGACGGUAAACUUGGCUGAGGGACUAAUGUGUUUGUGAGAUUCACAGGAGAACACAUGUAGAAGUCCCCAUUGAUUUGGUUUACCAAUCGAAGAUGACACCUAAAAUGUAUGAAGACAUUGAAGACAAUGCUGGUUCGCGAAGGCAUUCGUGUCGAAGAUAAUGAUACGUGAAGACAUUCGCUUGAAGACAAUGGAGCGCGAAGACAUAGUUCUCUCGUAGUUUCAAUUUCUUCAUUCUUGAGUCAUAGGAACCACCGAACUGUUAAAUGGGGUCGAGGUAAACAAAGUUAGAAAACUAACAUGAUGCUCAACCUAAUAUCCUAUAUCUUCGAGCAAAGACAACCGAGAGCAAAAUCUCUUCCAGAGUUGGUAGAGUCUGCUUUACCUGGAGCUCAAAUAAAGUUGCCGCAUGGGUUCAAAUUCCGACCGUUCGAACACGUGUCAGUUCCCCAAUGACCCAGGGUCAUUUCGGACAAAUCAUGUUGGGCUGCCCUGGCUAUAAAUAGCCACCCCUCCCACUAUAAGUUGGUGGCUGCUCUGAGUUAAGAGUACGACUUUUGUUGUUUGAGAGCAACCCAUCUCCGAAGCCUUUUAGAGAUAAUCCUUGCGAGGACAAACCCAAAACACCCAAAGCCCUAAGAGUGUUAAGCAUCAAUGAAGCCUUUCUGUUUCGCGUGAACUGAAGACUUAUUACACUUGAAGACUGUUAUCUUCUAGUCGGUUAGGCAUCGCAUUUUGAGCAUCCAAGAAUCAUUGUGGAUCUCUGGUGAACGAAGCCUGUGAAGGUUUGGAAGUCUACCUUGAAGACUUACCUGAGUGAUUGGGCGAGGUCUAGGUGACCUUAUCUCAAGGGGAAUAAUGUGAAGUGAUACCCCACAAGUAUAGGGGGUCGUUUGUAGUCUUUUUCAAUAAAUAAGAGUGUCAAACCCAACAAGGAGCUAAAGGUAGAAUAAAUACUCCCUCAAGUUCUAUCGACCACCGAUACAACUCUACGCACACUUAACACUCGCUUUAUCUAGAACAAGAAUAAAACUAGAAGUACUUUGCGAGAAUAAAACUACAAAUAAAUUGUAAGAUAAUAAAUUUAGUAGUUUAUUAGAUAUCUUUUGUCAUACAAGAAAGUCAUUUGUCCCUAGACGAUCGAUAACUAAACCGGUAAUCAUUAUUGCAAUUUUAUAUGAGGGAGAGGCAUGAGCUAACAUACUUUCCAUACUUGGAUUAUAUGCACUUAUGAUUGGAACUCUAGCAAGCAACCGCAACUACCAAAGAUCAUUAAGGUAAAACCCAGCCAUAGCAUUAAGUAUCAAGUCCUCUUUACUCCCAUAUGCAACAACCCCCUUACUAGGGUAUAAGUUUCUGUCACUCUCGCCACCCACCAUAAGAGAAUCAUGAACAUAUUGCAACACUCUAUAACGGGGAUCUCUCACGUUUGCGCGAAACGGAGGUCACCAUAAGACAACACCAAAAUAAAAUAUGCAACUCAAACCAAUCAUGAUCAUCAAUCAACCAAUAGGACAAAAUAGAUCUACUCAAACAUCAUAUGAUAACCACAUAUCAUAGGAUAAUAAUAUAUAGUGUUGAGCAUCAUGUUUAAGUAGAGAAUUGCAGCUGGAAUAGAGAGGUUACACCGCUGCAUAGAGGGGGAGAAAAUUGGUGUUGACGGUAGCAAGAUUGUUGAUGUAGAUCGCCGUCAUGAUCCUUGCCCCGGCGGCACUCUGGUGCCACCGGGAGAGAGCGGGAGAGAGCCCCCUCCUUCUUCUUCUUCCUUGGCCUCCCCCCUAGAUGGGAGGAGGGUUUCCCCUCUGGUCCAUGGCCUCCAUGGCAGCGGAGGGGCGAGAGCCCCUCCGAGAUUGGAUCUGUCUCUCUGUUCUCUUCUGUUUUGCGUUCCUGUUUUCUGGCCCAUCACCAUUUCUUAAAUAUCCGAAGAUCCGUAACCCCAAUUGCGCUAAAAUUUUAACACGAUUUUUUUCCGGAUAUAAGCUUCCUUGCGGCCGAAGAAGAGCCCCAACCGACUUACGGGGUGCACACUCGGCACCACCGCGCGCCAGGGGGUAGGUCGCACCCUGGUGGGUAGUGGAGACCGCGGGCCUCUGUUUGCAUUAAUUCCACGUCCCAAAAAUCACAUAUAUUCUAAAAUAAUUCUCCGUAAAUUUUUAUCAUGUUUGGACUUCGUUUGAUAUGGAUAUUAUGCGAAACAAAAAACAUGCAACAAACAGGAACUCACACUGGGCACUAGAUCAAUAUGGUAGUCCUAAAAAAUAAUAUAAAAUAUUGCCAAAAGUAUAUAAAAGUUGUAUAAUAUUAGCAUGGAACAAUAAAGAAUUAUAGAUACGACGGAGACGUAUCAGCAUCCCCAAGCUUAAUUCCUUCUCGUCCUCGAGUAGGUAAAUGAUACAAAAGAUAAAUUUUUUAUGUGGAAUGCUACCUAGCAUAAUCUAGAUCAUAUAUCUAAUCAUGAUAUGAAUAUUAAGACACAAGUGAUUCAGCCAAAAUUAUGCCAUGAUUUGUUAGAAUUUCUCUAUAUACUUCACUUAAAUUUUUAUGAGCUAUGGAAUUGCUCUAGUGCUUCACUUAUAUCUUUUUGAGCAUGGUGUGCUUUAGUAUUUUUGAAGAAAUGCUCUCUUGCUUCACUUAGAUUUAUUUGAGAGUUAGUAAAAUUUUCAAGAAAUUCUCUCUUGAUUCACUUAAAUUAGUUUGAGAGAAAGAAAAAUAUGCUCAUGAUCUUCAAUUACAUUUGUUUUAGCUUAUCAAAAGCAACACAUAAAAAUUAGUUCCAAAGUGAUAGAUAUCCAAGAAGAAUAUAAUAAAAACUUUCAUGAAGAUCAUUGGACAAAAUAAACUUGAUUAUUUGUAAUAGUUUUGAGAUAUGACAAUGUGAUAUGUGAGUCAUGUUGAUGAGUAAUUAUGCUUUAGUAAGAAUAUUGGUGUUAAGGUUUGUGAUUCCCUAUGCAAGCACGAAAGUCAAUAGUCAUCCAAUGAAAUCACAUCCUACUUGUGGUGCAUUAUUCGGUGUUAAUUAUGCUCAAUGCUCGCUUAUGAGAUUAUUCGUUUCUUGGUUGGUCGAUUCUCAAUCUUUUGCUGGCCUUCAUUUUGCACUAAGUAUGAUCACUACUUGUGCAUCCAAAAUCCUUUAAACCAGUUUUGCCACAUGAGUCCACUAUACCUACCUAUAUGCGGUAUUCUUUUGCCGUUCUAAGCAAAUUUGUAUGUGUCAUCUCUAAUUUUCAAAAUAAAUUUCUCUUUUGUGUGCUCAUACCGCUCAUGAGGCGGUGAGAGGUGGCCAAUAUUUUCCAUGCUAGAUGUAUUAUUCUCACGAUGAGUGUUUAUUCACUUGUCAUUACACGAGAGUAAGGCAAAGGUAUUAGGGAUGCCCAGUUUCGAAAUGAGAAAUGAAUUUACUUUAUGUUGUCAAAUAAUAAAUUCCUUGGAAGGUGUUGGUAUGGAGGGCACCCGUGGAUACAGUUAGCUAUGGAAAGUGAAAGUAUGGUGGAAAAAGGAAUAAACUUUAUUUUCUGUUUGGGAACCACCUAUGAUAUAUCUAGCAUUGAAAGUGUUGGGAGCUAUAAGUCGGUUUCGUUGGUGGGAAAAAUAUGCGUCUCAAAAUGUUUUUAUCUCUCAAUUUUCGCUUUGAGCUCUGACACCUCUACAAAUCCCUACUUCCCUCUGCGAAGAGCUUUUCUUUUAAUUUAUGCAAUUUCUAUUUUUAUUUGAGUCUCCAUCAUCAUUUCUUAUAAAGCACCAGCUAGGGGGGCACUAUGGUCGUACUUGAGCAUUGGGUGUAGCUAAUAUGCGAGUGUGUUUCAUGAAUGGAUCAAUGAUUGAGCAUGAUGGGCUAGGGAUAACUUAUUUUAGCGUUGAUAUUUUGAAAGACAUGGUUGCUUGUUGAUAUGCUUGAGUAUUUAAGUCACAUGUCAAAACUAGACUAUUGCUUUGAACCAUAUAAAAGUCCAAAUGUCCAUGCUAUAAAGAAAAGAAUAUGAGAUGGCAUGUUAGGCAGCAUUCCACAUCAAAAAUUCUGUUUUUAUCAUUUACCUACUCGAGGACGAGCAUAAAUUAAGCUUGGGGAUGCUGAUAUGUCUCCAACCUAUCUAUAAUUUUUUAUUGUUCCAUGCUGUUAUAUUAUCAUUCUUGGAUGUUUUAUAAUCAUUUUAUAUCAUUUUUUGGUACUAACCUAUUGACAUAGUGCCAAGUGCUAUUUGCUGUUUUCUGCAUGUUUUUUUGCAUCGCAGGAAAUCAAUACCAAACGGAGUCCAAACGCAGCGAAAUGUUUUGUGGAUUUUUUGGACCAGAAGACAUCCAGUGGGCUGGAGAAGCGCCUGGGGGGGUGCUUUGAGGGGAGCACAACCCACCAGGGCACGCCUGGAGGUGCCUCCCGAACCGACUCUUUGCUCUAUAAAUACCCCCAAUAUUCCAGAAACCCUAGGGGAGUCGACAAAAAUCAAUUCCAGCCGCCGCAGAGUCCAGAACCACCAGAUCCAAUCUAGACACCAUCAUGGAGGGGUUCAUCAUGCCAAUUGGUGCCUCUCCGAUGAUGCGUGAGUAGUUCUUUGUAGACCUACGGGUCCGUAGUUAGUAGCUAGAUGGCUUCCUCACUCUGUUUUGAUUCUCAAUACAAUGGUCCCUUGGAGAUCCAUAUGAUGUAAUUCUUUUCCGGUGUGUUUGUUGGGAUCAGAUGAUAUUUGAGUUUAUAAUCAGAUCUAUCUUUUUAUCCAUGAAAGUUAUUUGAGUCUUCUUUGAUCUCUUACAUGCAUGAUUGCUUAUAGCCUCGUAUUUCUUCUCCGAUAUUUGGGUUUUGUUUGGCCAACUUUAUCUAUUUAUCUUGCAAUGGGAAGAGGUGCUUUGUGAUGGGUUCGAUCUUACGGUGCUUGAUCCCAGUGACAGAAGGGGAACCGACACGUAUGUAUCGUUGCCAUUAAGGAUAUAAUAAGAUGGGGUAUAUUUCUACAUAAAUAGAUCUUGUCUACAUCAUGUCAUCGUUCUUAUUGCAUUACUCCGUUUCUCCAUGAACUUAAUACACUAGAUGCAUGCUGGAUAGAGGUCGAUGUGUGGAGUAAUAGUAGUAGAUGCAGGAAGGAGUCGAUCUACUAAUCUUGGAUGCGAUGCCUAUAUAAUGAUCAUUGCCUGGAUAUUGUCAUGAUUAUUUGAAGUUCUAUAAAUUGCCCAAUAGUAAUUUGUUUACCCACCGUUUGCUAUUUUUCCCGAGAGAAGCCACUAGUGAAAUCUACGGCCCCCGGGUCUCUUCUUUUAUAUAUUUGCCUUUGCGAUCUAUUUUAUUUGCCUUUUAUUUUCAGAUCUAUUAAACCAAAAAUACCUGGCUGCACUUUAUUUUAUUUGGUGUUCAAUCUAUGAAUUAUUACAACUCUCUCACGUCCGUUUGCCAAUUUCUGGCACCGUUACCUGAAAAGGAUUGACAACCCCUUUAACACGUCGGGCUGUGAGUAUUUUUAUUUGUGUGCAGGUGCUGUUUACGUAGUGUUGCUUGGCUCUCCUACUAGUUCGAUAACCUUGGUCUCAUCACUAAGGGAAAUACCUACCGUUGCUGUGCUGCAUCAUCCCUUCCUCUUUGGAGAAAUACUGUCGUAGUUCUAGCAGACAUCAUCAAUCCCUUCAUGGUCACGAACAAGAGUGAGAUCUAAUAGAGAUACGUAUAAAAGACAAACAAAAAGGCAAACUAAAGUAAAUAUAAAGAAAUUGAAGCAAGGUAUUUUUUUGGGUUUUUUGGUUUAUACACAUGAAAAUAUAUGAUGAAAAAUAGACCCGGGGGCCAUAGGUUUCACUAGAGGCUUCUCUUUUGAAGAUAACAUACGGUGGGUAAACAAAUUACUAUUGAGCAAUUGAUAGAAAAGUGCAAAGUUAUGACGGUAUCUAAGGCAAUGAUCAUGAAUAUAGGCAUCACGUCCAUGUCAAGUACACCGACUCCUGCCUGCAUCUACUACUAUUACUCCACACAUCGACUGCUAUCCAGCAUGCAUCUAGAGUAUUAAGUUCAUAAGAACAGAGUAACUCCUUAAGCAAGAUGACAUGAUGUAGAGGGAUAAACUCAAGCAAUCUGAUAUAAACCCCAUCUUUUUAUCCUUGAUGACAACAAUACAAUACGUGCCUCACUACCCCUUCAAUCACUGGGUGAGGACCGCAAGAUUGAACCCAAAACUGAGCACCUCUCCCAUUGCAAGAAAAACCAAUCUAGUUGGCCAAACCAAACCGAUAGUACGAAGAGAAAUACAAAGAUAUCUUAACUUUGCAUAAAAGAGUUCAGAGAAGACUCAAAUAAUACUCAUAGAUAAUCUGAUCAUAAAUCCACAAUUCAACGGAUCUCAACAAACGCACCGCAAAAGAAGAUUACACCAGAUAGAACUCCAAGAACAUCGACGAGAACAUUGUAUUGAGGAUCAAAGAUAGAGAAGAAGCCAUCUAGCUACUAGCUAUGGUCCCUUAGGUCCGUGGUAAACUACUCAUGCUUCAUCAGAAGGGCGGCAAGGUUGAUGUAGAAGCCCUCCGUGAUCGAAUCCCCCUCCGGCGGAGUGUUGGAAAAGGCCCCAAGAUGGGAUCUCACGGGAAUAGAAGCUUGCGGCGGCGAAAAAGUAUUUUUGGUGUUCCCUCUGUUAUAGGGGGAAUAUUUGAGGAUUUAUAGUGCUGAGAUUAGGUCAAGACGGUCCAUGAGGGGCCCACAAGCCAGGGGGCGCGCCCCCACGGCUUGUGGCCGCCUCGUGGGUCUUCUGGCCUCCUCUCCAAGUCUCGUGGGUUUCUUCUGGUCCAAGAAAAAUCACUGUAAAGUUUUAUUCAGUUUGGGCACCGUUUGAUAUUCCUUUUAUGUAAAAGUGAAAAACUAGGAAAAAACAUAAACUGGCACUGGGCUCUAGGUUAAUAAGUUAGUCCCAAAAAUAAUAUAAAAUAUCAUAUUAAUGCAUUUAAAACAUCCAAAAAAGAGAAUAACAUAGCACAGAACAAAAAAAAAA
rnacentral:lncRNA from 1 species